GCCAUGCUGGAGGACACUCACAGCUCUGUGAAGAGGCCCAUAUGGAGAGGAACUGAAACUUCCCAUCAACAAACAGCCCAUGCCAACUGGCCAAGCUAUAUAAGUGAGCCACCUGGGAAUCAGAGCCCUCAGCCCCAGUCAAGCCUUCAGAUGACUGCAGCCCAGCUGACAUCUGACUGCAACCAUAUGAGAGCCCCUGAGCCAGGACCAUCCAGCCAAGUUGCUCUGAACUCCUGACCCAGAGAAACCAUGAGAGAAAUAGCUAAAGUGCAACAGCAGGAUCUCCGAUCACUACAACCUCCGCCUUCCAGGUUCAAGUGAUUCUCCUGGAUCAUUCUCCCAAGUAGCUGGGAUUACAGAUGUCACAGACCGGCUGGGUUUCCAGCAAGAUCCCAGACCAUACACAACCCACCCAGGGUGAAAAGGUGAAAUUAGCUCCAGGAAUAAAAGAAGAUGGCUCCCUUCCUGCUUUCUGCUACCUGAAACAGAGAUGUGACGACCGGAGCUACUGCUGCUAUCUUGGACCAAGAAGUAACCUUGACGUUCCAUGCCAAGGAUGGUGAAGGAGAAAGAUAGACGUCUUAAUGACAUUGUGGAGCCAUCAAAACAACAGCGGCCUGGCCCACCUCCAGAUGUUUUGUUUUUCACAUAGGAGAAAAACUUCUAUUUCUUUUUUUACUUGAAAGCCCCCAGUGGGGAAGGGGGGAGAAACUUCUCUCUUACCUAAGCCACUAUUGUUCAGGGAAUUCUGUGUAAGCAGCUGCACCAAAUACUACCUGAAGUAGAAGGAUCCUGCCUCAUUUUCUUUUUGUAAGAGCUACGUGAAAGAACAUAUGUAAAACUCUUAGUGCCCUUCCAAGCACACAGUAAGUCUCAGUAUUGUUAAUUCUUACUUUUAAGUGAUUGAGCAGGUCAGAGAUUAGAAUGAUACA